rnacentral:piRNA from 1 species
UAUCUCCAGCCUUCUCUCUGUAUCCAGUU